CACGUAGGGGGCAAGCGUUGUCCGGAUUUAUUGGGCGUAAAGAGCUCGUAGGUGGCUGAGUAAGUCGGAUGUUAAAUCCCCAGGCUCAACCUGGGACACCACCCGAUACUGCUCUGGCUAGAGUCCGGGAGAGGUGAGUGGAACUGCGAGUGUAGAGGUGAAAUUCGUAGAUAUUCGCAAGAACACCAGUGGCGAAGGCGGCUCACUGGCCCGAUACUGACGCUGAGGCACGAAAGCGUGGGGAGCAAACAGG
rnacentral:rRNA from 1 species